GCCAUCGUAAUUAACACAACAGAAUGGAGAUUUGGAGGGAAAUAAAUCACUCUUGCGCGCCAAAACAUUGGUGGUGAACUUUUCCCGUACACAGUUACUCCAAACAGACCACAUCAUACACCUCCAUCAAAUCUAUCUACAAAUAUAGAUCCAACAGAGGGAUACGAGGAACUUGAUGGCAUCUUCACCAAUUCUUGCCGGGACCAAUGAGGAAUCAGAUCCCCCAAAUGUAAGCUAUGUCUUCCAUUGUGUUCUUCCCUCUCUCUGAUCCAAUGUCUUCUCCCAGUCCUGCAAUUUACGGAUCUAUGGCUUUCAGGUUUUUGUGAUUGUUGUCACUGGUAGGGCAUAACAAAAUAAACCUAUACAACAGAAGCGAAUAUUUCGUACUCCCUGUGCGUAAUAUCCAGUUAACAAUAUGUCUUGCACAGAUUACACAAUACAAAGUUGUAUUACUGAUGGGUACAUAUAAAUGAAAACUGACAGUGAUGCUGGACAUAUAAGAGAAAUGUAAUGGCUCAAGGGGAAAAGACAUAUAAGAGAAAUGUAAUGGCUCAAGGGGCAAAGACAUACCUCUGAUUAGUUGGGAAUGCCUACUCCUUUUCAUUCCACCGUGAAAUCAAAAUAAAUAGACAUAGCAAGGUUAUUUGUUGAUUUACAUCACGGAUAGGUUUCUUCUCCUUUUCCUUGUAUUUGAACCAAUUGCUAAAGUGACUACUAAUUUAAACAGGGAUUCGAAGAAACUACAGCUAGCAAUGCAACAGAGCAAAUUGAAAAAGGGGUGCCAAAGCUUGGCAUGCAGUUUUUAUCUGAAGAAGAAGCUUAUUCCUUCUAUAACAAGUAUGCUUAUUCCAUGGGUUUUAGCAUCCGAAGAGGCAAUCAACAUAAAGUAAAAAAUUCUAGUACAAUACAACAACGGACAUUCACAUGUUCUCGUCAAGGUAUGGACUAGUUCUAACUUGUUCUGGUCAUAUGCAUUUUUAGAUGGGACUAAGAAAAUUACUUGAACUAAUAGGAGUUCGUGCGGAAGAUAAAAGAGAGGAGAAAUUCAGUUAUAGUAGGCCUGAGACACGAUGUGGUUGUGAUGCACGUAUGAAGAUAAGUCUUAAUAAUGGGAUUUAUUAUGUAUACGAAUUUAAGGAAGCCCACAACCAUAGUCUUGCUACUGGAAAUAUGUCGCAAUACUUAAGAUCACACAGGAAAGUAACUGAAGCUCAACUAGCCAAUGCUGAGGCCGCAAAGUCAGUGGGCAUUUCAAAUAAAGCAACUAUUGAUCUAAUGACGAAAGAGGCAUGUGGACCUGAAAACCUUGGCUUUAUAAGCACAGACAUGAAAAAUCGUUUGUACUCAAAGAGAACACUAAAAGCAAAGGUGGGUGACACUGGUGGAGUGUUAGAAUAUAUGGAGAAGAAGGUUUCAGAAGAUGUCAAGUUUUUUUAUUCAAUUCAAGUUGAUGAGGAUGAUUUGAUAACUAAUAUAUUUUGGACGGACUCCAAAAUGGUCUCAGACUAUGCAUUAUUUGGUGAUGUCAUAUGUUUUGACACCACAUACAGGAAACUAGACGAUAGGCGUCCGUUUGGUUUAAUUGUUGGUGUAAAUAAUCACAAGAAAACAAUUGUGUUUGGUGCUGCACUUCUCUAUGAUGAACCAGCAGAAAGUUUUGCUUGGCUUUUUAGAACAUUUUUAACAGUAAUGUCUGGAAAGCAUCCACAUACAACUCUGACUGACGAAGAUGCGGCAAUGGCUAAGGCGAUCCGUUCAGUCCUGCCUCACUCUCACCAUAGACUUUGUGUGUGGCAUAUGAAUCAAAAUGCUAUCAAACAUCUUGGUGGAGUUUUACAGAUUACAAGAAGUUCAAUGCUGAUUUUCAGCAUUGUAUCUAUGAUAUUGAGGAGGAAGAUGAAUUUAUAA
rnacentral:rRNA from 1 species